rnacentral:rRNA from 1 species
UGAACGCUGGCGGCAGGCCUAACACAUGCAAGUCGAGCGGUAGCACAGAGAGCUUGCUCUCGGGUGACGAGCGGCGGACGGGUGAGUAAUGUCUGGGAAACUGCCUGAUGGAGGGGGAUAACUACUGGAAACGGUAGCUAAUACCGCAUAAUGUCGCAAGACCAAAGUGGGGGACCUUCGGGCCUCAUGCCAUCAGAUGUGCCCAGAUGGGAUUAGCUAGUAGGUGGGGUAACGGCUCACCUAGGCGACGAUCCCUAGCUGGUCUGAGAGGAUGACCAGCCACACUGGAACUGAGACACGGUCCAGACUCCUACGGGAGGCAGCAGUGGGGAAUAUUGCACAAUGGGCGCAAGCCUGAUGCAGCCAUGCCGCGUGUGUGAAGAAGGCCUUCGGGUUGUAAAGCACUUUCAGCGGGGAGGAAGGCGUUAAGGUUAAUAACCUUGGCGAUUGACGUUACCCGCAGAAGAAGCACCGGCUAACUCCGUGCCAGCAGCCGCGGUAAUACGGAGGGUGCAAGCGUUAAUCGGAAUUACUGGGCGUAAAGCGCACGCAGGCGGUCUGUCAAGUCGGAUGUGAAAUCCCCGGGCUCAACCUGGGAACUGCAUUCGAAACUGGCAGGCUAGAGUCUUGUAGAGGGGGGUAGAAUUCCAGGUGUAGCGGUGAAAUGCGUAGAGAUCUGGAGGAAUACCGGUGGCGAAGGCGGCCCCCUGGACAAAGACUGACGCUCAGGUGCGAAAGCGUGGGGAGCAAACAGGAUUAGAUACCCUGGUAGUCCACGCCGUAAACGAUGUCGAUUUGGAGGUUGUGCCCUUGAGGCGUGGCUUCCGGAGCUAACGCGUUAAAUCGACCGCCUGGGGAGUACGGCCGCAAGGUUAAAACUCAAAUGAAUUGACGGGGGCCCGCACAAGCGGUGGAGCAUGUGGUUUAAUUCGAUGCAACGCGAAGAACCUUACCUGGUCUUGACAUCCACAGAACUUUCCAGAGAUGGAUUGGUGCCUUCGGGAACUGUGAGACAGGUGCUGCAUGGCUGUCGUCAGCUCGUGUUGUGAAAUGUUGGGUUAAGUCCCGCAACGAGCGCAACCCUUAUCCUUUGUUGCCAGCGGUUCGGCCGGGAACUCAAAGGAGACUGCCAGUGAUAAACUGGAGGAAGGUGGGGAUGACGUCAAGUCAUCAUGGCCCUUACGACCAGGGCUACACACGUGCUACAAUGGCAUAUACAAAGAGAAGCGACCUCGCGAGAGCAAGCGGACCUCAUAAAGUAUGUCGUAGUCCGGAUUGGAGUCUGCAACUCGACUCCAUGAAGUCGGAAUCGCUAGUAAUCGUAGAUCAGAAUGCUACGGUGAAUACGUUCCCGGGCCUUGUACACACCGCCCGUCACACCAUGGGAGUGGGUUGCAAAAGAAGUAGGUAGCUUAACCUUCGGGAGGGCGCUUACCACUUUGUGAUUCAUGACUGGGGU